UCACUGAUACUCCAGGCAUUGCUUCUGUUGCUUCAUUUCCAGAAGGGCAUUGGAAAACCCAGGUGACAAUUUGAAAUGGUUUCAGGAAGAGGCCAUUGGCAAUGUAUCCAGUGCCUGGCAUGUUUCUUGUUGUGUACCAGACAGUGGACAGAACUGCCCAUCAGACACCUGGGAAACUGGAUUAGGCAUUGGACUGGACCUUUGGAAUGGAUUCGACUGCUCCACGGAAGUUUCAGAAAUUCAGAACAAUCAUCUGGAGUUAGCAGAGAAGGUUGGUUCAAUCACUGUAACACCAACCCUUCCAAAGGGCCCAGCUGAGUUGACCCAUACUCAAAGUAUGUCAAUUUCAUGAAACCCUGAUGCUCUCUGAGCCUGGAGAGCACAAAGGACUCCACAAUUCAACCACGAGCUGCAUAUAUUCUCUUCUACAUCAAUUUCUUCAGUCAAGAAUGUGACAUUCAGUCUCUUAUAUCAAAGAUGUGUUAGAAUAUGAUUCCCAUCACCCCACAGACAUCACAGCUUGAUAUGCUAAACUGGGAAUGACAGAAGUUCAUGACCAACACAUUCAAGAGAUCUCAAGUCUUUUAAAUUUACCCAGCUUUCUAGUGCUGAUUUUCCAGCCCUCAUAUCCUUGCUCAAUAAAACUACAUUUCUAAUUUCAUGUGUAUAUAAUAGAAAAUGUACAGCUACAACAAAUUAAAUAAAUUGAUUUUGCAGGUUGGAUAAUAA